rnacentral:rRNA from 1 species
AUACGAAGGUCCCAAGCGUUAUUCGGAAUCACUGGGCGUAAAGAGUACGUAGGCGGUUUGGUAAGUCAGGUGUGAAAUCCCGAAGCUCAACUUCGGAACUGCAUCCGAUACUGCCAGACUUGAGUAAUGGAGAGGCAGGUGGAAUUCUCGGUGUAGCAGUGAAAUGCGUGGAUAUCGAGAGGAAGACCAAUGGCGAAGGCAGCCUGCUGGACAUUGACUGACGCUGAGGUACGAAGGCUAGGGGCGCGAAAGGGAUUAGAAACCCUUGUAGUCC